AGAGAUAGUUAGUUCUUUAUCUUUGCAAACUGCUAACUGCUACAUCAGAUAUAAUGUCAGUGAUUACUGAGGAGCCUGCAACUACGCGCUAUGGAACUAUAUCUCUAGAUGGAAAGUGGAGUACUGGACUGUAUGACUGUUGUGAGGACUGUGGCAUUUGCCUAUUUGGACUUUGCUUGCCAUCAUGCCUUGGGUGUUAUGUAGCUAAUAAAUAUGGAGAAAAUUGCUGUUUACCGGUGGUUCCUGGUGCCAUGACUGCAUUGCGUACUCACAUGCGUUUGUCGUAUGGCAUUAGAGGUACUGUGUGUAAUGAUGGACUCAUGAUGUGUUUCUGCGGUUGGUGUGAGAUCUGCAGAAUGGCUAGAGAACUAAAACAUCGAUCAUAGUAAUCAUCAAGACUGAAGACACAACAGGAAAGAUUUUCACGUCAGAAAAUGUUGCCCAACAAAGUGACAAAUUGCUGCCCCCCAUUCAUAAAAUUUUAAUAAAAAUCUAAAAAAAAAAAAAA